ACCAGCAGCUACGUAUACCUGCAAUUCAGAACUGGCAACCCACUAAAGCUAAAAAGGUGUGAGCCUGGCCAGUAUCUGGAUGGGAGACCAUCUGGGAAACCUAAGGUUGCUGCUGGAA
rnacentral:rRNA from 1 species